UACGGGGGGGGCAAGCGUUGUUCGGAAUUACUGGGCGUAAAGGGCUCGUAGGCGGCCAACUAAGUCAGACGUGAAAUCCCUCGGCUUAACCGGGGAACUGCGUCUGAUACUGGUUGGCUUGAAUCCGGGAGAGGGAUGUGGAAUUCCAGGUGUAGCGGUGAAAUGCGUAGAUAUCUGGAGGAACACCGGUGGCGAAGGCGGCCCUCUGGACCGGUACUGACGCUGAUGCGCGAAAGCGUGGGGAGCAAACGGG
rnacentral:rRNA from 1 species